UUGAUGGUAUUGUUGAUGAAUAUGUGAAUGUAUCUUCCUCACAAUUGGAAAACUCGAUUUGAGUUCUAAUCGUCUAAGUAGAUCAUUUCCAGAGUACUUCUUUGAAUUUCCAAAGCUGAGUAAGUUAUUACUUUCUUCCAACUCCUUAGGUGGAAAGAUACUACCAUCUCUGUUUUCACUUCCAUCUUUGAAGUGGUUAGAUCUUUCCAACAAUUCAUUUGAUGGUAUGGUUGAUGAAUAUGUGAAUGUAUCUGCCUUACAAUUGGAAACACUUGAUUUGAGUUCUAAUUGUUUAAAUAACCCAUUUCCAGAGUAUUUCAUUGAAUUUCCAAAGCUGAGUGACUUGGUACUUUAUUCCAACUCCUUUUGUAGAAAGAUACAAUCAUCUUUGUUUUUACUUCCAUCAUUGCAGUCACUAGAUCUUUCCAACAAUUCAAUUGAUGGUCUUGUUGAUAAAUAUGUGAAUUUAUCUUCCUCACAAUUGUAUAGGCUUGACUUGAGUUCUAACUCUCU